CGGAAGGUGGCUUAGUUUGUGGGUUGUAUGGUGUUUGCAGAGCGUUCGCUGGACUCCCGGGACACGAAGACGAGCGCUCAGUCUGUGCUGUCCGGAAAUGUGUAAUUUAGAGGGAGAGACACGAAAGGAAUGCUGGGAGGAAGGUCUUCGUUAAAAUGCCCUUUGAACUGGACUUGGAAAACUCAAUUAAGUAAUGAAAUCGGCUGUGGGAGGGAACCUAAGCUGGGGUGUCGCUGGGAUACAAGUCUAAAGAAGACCUUUGGAGCACCUCUUGGCUCUGAGUGGUACUCGUGAUAGCCGUGCCUGGAACAUUCACACUUUGUGGCCAGAGUUCCUUCUUCAAGAUAAUUCUAGUCCUCCGUCCUAUUAGUCAGCCCCUCCAGGAAAGCGCCCAAGCCAGUGCUCGUUUCUGGCUGUUAUGAAGAGAGCAGCAGUGAACAAGGUUGAGCAAGUGUUCGCGUGGCGGGAUGAAGCAUCCUUUGGGUAUAUGCUGAAGAGUGGUAUAGCUGGAUCUUGAGGUUAUUCUUUUGCUGGAGCAUCACUGAAAGUUCAGAAGAGUCACCAAAAUCUUUCCAGUUUGGAUGGGUCUGAACCCCAACAUCUCUCAGUACUGGGCUGCCUCGGACAUGUUUGCUGUUCUCCAUGUCCCAGGGCUUGCUCUCUGCUAGUGCUCCAUGUUCUCUGCUAGUGCUCCGUGCUCUCUGCUAGUGCUCCAUGUUCUCUGCUAGUGCUCCAUGCUCUCUGCUAGUGCUCCAUGCUGUCUGCUAGUGCUCCAUGUUCUCUGCUAGUGCUCCAUGCUGUCUGCUAGUGCUCCAUGCUGUCUGCUAGUGCUCCAUGCUGUCUGCUAGUGCUCCAUGCUGUCUGCUAGUGUUCCAUGCUCUCUGCUAGUCCUUCAUGUUCUCUGCUAGUGCUCCAUGCUGUCUGCUAGUGCUCCAUGCUGUCUGCUAGUGCUCCAUGCUGUCUGCUAGUGCUCCAUGUUCUCUGCUAGUGCUCCAUGUUCUCUGCUAGUGCUCCAGAUUCUUCCAUGCACAAGAACAACUAGAGUCAGCCCAGGGUCUAAGAGGAAUUCUAAAGUAGAAGUUUAGGCUCCUCUCUUGGCGGCACUGUCUCCUCUGAUAUUUAAACCCUUCGACUCAGACCUGUUCUUCUUACCCAGGGAGUCAAAUCAGUGGUCAAUUGCUAAAUAUUAUAAGUUGCCAGGACAAAAUAACAAAUUACACACACACACACACACACACACACACACACACACACACACACACAGAGCAACUGUGUGCCUAACCAUAGAAUUUUCAUCACAAAGUAUGGGCAUCAGAGAGCAGUGGAAGGAAAUUCUUCAAGAGUUAAAGAGAAGAAGGGAAACAGAGAAUGUAAUGUUUAUUGAGUCAAGUAAUUAGGUUUGUGCUUUGCGAGCUGUGACUUCUAUCUCUUUAAUAUAUUCCAAAUCAAGAGUGGGUUACAUUUAGAAUUUUUAUUGGAGGGAGGCAGCAGGCAUUGAGCACAGAGUCUUGUGUGCAUACUAAGUAUAUUCUUCUGCACUGAGCUAUAGCCACAGCCUCAAAGGAGUUUUUGAAACUAGAAGAGAAUGAAACAAAGCAUUGUCUAGGAAAUCAUCAGUGUGCGUCUUAAAUAUCAAGGUAAGUAUUGUUGACAAAACCUUUAUUUACAAUCCAUGUAUGUGUGUAAAAUGCCUCUUCCCAUAGGUACUAAUUUUUUAAAAGAAGAAAUUGUAGUGACUGUUCUACUGUGUUUUUCACCAUAAAAAUUUUGUAAGGCGGGAAUGCUCUCCUAAUCACAGAAAGCCAAGGUGGUGUUUAAAGAAACUGGUUUUGAGCAUAUGUCAAAAGUCUUGCCUGGCAUUUACAGGUGACCAACAGCCAAUCAGUGCCCUGCACCAACCAAUGCAGUUAUAGCAACUGGUGCGCUGUGGCCUUCUUUGUUUUUGUCUUGCUUUUUAGUAGGUAAGAAUAUAGACCCUUUGGCAGCACUGAGAGGAGGGGCUCAAGUUUCUUCUCUCCAGGUGGUCUUCCUCAUACUGACCUGAAGAAACUCUCAGCCUCACUCUCAAAGAGCUCCCACUUGCCUGUUGGAUUGCUCUCUCAAAUUAAAUUCUUCUGGCUGCCUUCAAAGCAUUCACAGGUUUUGUGGUAGUCAACCUGCUUCCAAAGGGUGUUUCCAAUGGGUGGACUGAAGCAGCUCCAGAGAAAGAGAUGGACUUUCCUUUCCCUCAGAACAGCCCUAGGUGAAAACCAGCUCUAGCUGCUUCCUGGUCAGACACAAGGGAUAGCACAAUUUAAAAAAAAUAAAAAUAAAAAAAAAAUAAAAAAGCCAGAGUGACACAGGCCUUUAAUCCUAGCCCUAGGGAGUUAAAGGCAGUCUGAUCUUAGUUCAAGGCCAGCCUUGUCUAUGGAGUGAGUUCCAGGACAGCUACAACAACAAAGCAACGCCCCUACCCCCACUAAAGCCCUGUGAUUCAGAAGUGCACGCCACCU